rnacentral:rRNA from 1 species
GGGGAAUAUUGCACAAUGGGCGAAAGCCUGAUGCAGCGACGCCGCGUGGAGGAAGAAGGUCUUCGGAUUGUAAACUCCUGUCUUCUGGGACGAAAAAAAUGACGGUACCAGAGGAGGAAGCACCGGCUAACUACGUGCCAGCAGCCGCGGUAAUACGUAGGUGGCAAGCGUUGUCCGGAAUUAUUGGGCGUAAAGGGCGCGUAGGCGGCAACCUAAGUCAGAUGUGAAACCCCGGGGCUUAACUCCGGACGUGCAUUUGAAACUGGGUAGCUAGAGUGCAGGAGAGGAAAGCGGAAUUCCUAGUGUAGCGGUGAAAUGCGUAGAUAUUAGGAGGAACACCAGUGGCGAAGGCGGCUUUCUGGACUGUAACUGACGCUGAGGCGCGAAAGCGUGGGGAGCAAACA